rnacentral:rRNA from 1 species
GAUGAACGCUAGCGGCAGGCCUAAUACAUGCAAGUCGAGGGGUAGCGGAGAGCUUGCUUUCCUUGAGACCGGCGCACGGGCGCGUAACGCGUAUGCAACCUACCCUUUUCUGGGGGAUAGCCCGGAGAAAUCCGGAUUAAUACCGCAUAAAACCACACGGCGGCAUCGUCCAGGGGUCAAACAAUUAUGGGACAAGGAUGGGCAUGCGUGCCAUUAGCUAGUUGGCGGGGUAACGGCCCACCAAGGCUACGAUGGCUAGGGGAUCUGAGAGGAGGACCACCCACACGAGUAGUGAGGCACGAACCAGACUCCUACGGGAGGCGGCAGUAAGGAAUAUUGGUCAAUAGGCGCAAGCCUGAACCAGCCAUGCCGCGUGCAGGAAGACGGCCCUCCGGGUUGUAAACUGCUUUUGUACGGGAAUAAACCUUUCUUCGUGAAGGAAGCUGAAUGUACCGUAAGAAUAAGGAUCGGCUAACUCCGUGCCAGCAGCCGCCGCGG